CCCUGACAGCUGCAUCCCGUAGCUGACAAUAGCCAAGACAGGAGAAUUUACAUG
rnacentral:sRNA from 12 species